UACCUCUUCAAUCAGUCAUGGACUAACUGGCAAAGCCUCCAGUUCAGGUUCAUUUUGGAAAAAAUCCUAAAGUCUUGAUGAUUAUUUUCAUCUGAAUGUUUCAAUAUUGCUUCCUGCUGCGCUCACUCUGGCUUCCCUUUGCUGUGGCUGCUUUUCCAGGUAGCAGCUGAAGCUAUACCAAAAAACAACCAACCCAAAACCAAAUAAUUGCCUUGUUUCCAGCCUAAGCACAAGUAGAUCCACUUUGCUAGGGACUAUGCAUGCAUCCAACCUUAAAAAUUAACGAAGAGGAUGUUGUGAAGACCUGGCUCACGCAUAAAGAAAAGAGGCACAGUUUGAUACAUGCCUUCUCCGAUGAGCACUGCUAAUGACUCUGCACCCUAUUGUUUUCCACCAUUUGAGAAUGCCCAAGGAUGUCAUUGUAACUUCAUGUAUCAAUAUUAAACCUUCACAAACAGCAGACUAAAU
rnacentral:lncRNA from 12 species